rnacentral:rRNA from 1 species
UACGGGGGGGGCAAGCGUUGUUCGGAAUUACUGGGCGUAAAGGGCUCGUAGGCGGCCACCUAAGUCAGACGUGAAAUCCCUCGGCUUAACCGGGGAACUGCGUCUGAUACUGGAUGGCUAGAGGUUGGGAGAGGGAUGCGGAAUUCCAGGUGUAGCGGUGAAAUGCGUAGAUAUCGAGAGGAACAUCGGUGGCGAAGGCGGCCUUCUGGACAGUGACUGACGCUGAGACGCGAAAGCGUGGGGAGCAAACAGG